rnacentral:antisense_RNA from 1 species
AAAAUACAUCAAAUUUUAUUAGUUAAAACAUUAAAUCUAUGAUGCAUUCUUCAAUAGUAGCAAAAUGUGAUUCCAGCAGUUAAUGUAAAUCCUAGUAACAAACAUGGGAUUCUGGUUACUUUGAUUAAACUUCUUAUGCUCGGCCGGCCAGGCACGUGCUCUUCUGUCAGAAGAAGGGCACCUGCAGUGCAAUAAGGAUGAGUGACAUCAUAGUUCAUCAUCCUCUGCCCUUUCCACGUGCUCUCUAAUUCAGACUAUAUUUAAUUUUAAAAGGCAGAGUCUUUCUUCUUCAGGAGCUUGGAGAGAAAUAAUCCUCACCUAAUGAAGUGAGUGAGCCCUUCCAUCCUUUGAUUCUU